UUUCACUUUAGAUCACCCGAGAGCACUGUAAGCCGAGGAGGAGGGACACAUGCCACGACCGGAAGCCAAACCCAAUUUCGGUAAGCCGUCCGCCUUCCUUCGCUCUUUUUCUACCUAUAGACAUUAAUAACACGUUGUUCUCUUCAUUUAACAAAGAAAGGAGAGAAGGAGAGGAGAUAGGUGAAAGCCGAGGGUGGGAAUUGCCGCGAUCAGUGGUUUCAAGGAGCCACGCCACCACCGGCCGAUUUAAAGUAAGAACACCCA
rnacentral:lncRNA from 1 species